CUUAGGUGCAGAAUAAUUAAUAUUCUCAGUGGAUAAAACUGAAGUUAGUCACCUGGUCUUUACCUUCUGAGAAGUUGCAAGGAGAAAACACUCAGAGAUGAGAAGAACUCGUGGAACUUAUAUUACAGUGUUUGCACAGAAGCUUAACUGUAAUCACCGAUCUUCUAGAUAAUUAUAUAUGAAAUACUAAUUCAGAAAUGUGAUUUAGAGGUAUGGUUGUAGAUAAAACAUUACUUGUCGUAUUUAUGUGAUCACAGUUCAUAUAAUUGCUUAUAUGGGGUACAUUCUCCUCCCCAAGCAAAUACUAAUUGCAUAUACAUGCAAAUACUUAAUGCACUAUGCUUAUUCUGUCAUCAUAUUCGCUCCUUCCCCACCGGUGGCAUCCUCGGAAAUAUGGAGAUCCUCCAGCAUUUCAGCCAGGCUGAUCCGAGGGGCCCCAUCAUCAUCUGUGUCACUCUCCACUGGAAUGUCUGCAUUUCUGUAAAUGUUGACAUUUUUCCUUAUGGCUUCGUCUUCUUCUAGAUCUUCAAGGAAGUCCUGGUAUUGUCUUUCAUCGUCUGUAUCUGUGCCUUCUCUGUCUCUUUCCAGCUCUUUCAGUUUCCAGUUUCUGCGAUGCUGGCGCUUGGCACGGUCAUAGCUCUUCUUUAUCAAUACCACGUCAGGGAUAUUGUGUGGGCUCAUCUUAUUCACAAACUCGUCAUUCAAGUUACAGUUGGCCAAGUCAAAUCUAAAAUGAAAACAAGUAGUUCAUAUUUUCAUUUAAGUACAGAAAAAUAAACUCAAGGUUUUAUAUGCAAAUAAUGUUUGUAUUAAAGAUCAUAGCCUCAGUUAC
rnacentral:lncRNA from 1 species